GGGGUGACGCAGGAAGGUAGCUGAGCCAGUCAGUGGUAAUACUGGUGUAAGCCUGUAGGGAGUGACCUAGGCAAAUCCGGGUCACACAUAUCCUGAGAGGUGACGCAUAGCCGAAUGAGGCGAAUUCAGUGAUCCUAUGCUGCCGAGAAAAGCCUCUAGCGAGCUUUCACACGGCCCGUACCCCAAACCGACACAGGUGGUCAGGUAGAGAAUACUAAGGCGAUCGAGAUAACUAUGGUUAAGGAACUCGGCAAAAUGCCCCCGUAACUUCGGGAGAAGGGGGGCCUCGUCUGGUGAUCACUCUUGCAGUGUGAGCUGGGUGGGGCCGCAGAGACCAGUGAGAAGCGACUGUUUACUAAAAACACAGGUCCGUGCGAAGUCGUAAGACGAUGUAUACGGACUGACGCCUGCCCGGUGCUGGAAGGUUAAGAGGACCGGUUAGCCAUUUCGGUGGCGAAGCUGAGAAUUUAAGCCCCAGUAAACGGCGGUGGUAACUAUAACCAUCCUAAGGUAGCGAAAUUCCUUGUCGGGUAAGUUCCGACCUGCACGAAUGGCGUAACGACUUCUCAGCUGUCUCAACCAUAGACUCGGCGAAAUUGCAUUACGAGUAAAGAUGCUCGUUACGCGCGGCAGGACGAAAAGACCCCGGGACCUUCACUACAGCUUGGUAUUGGUGUUCGGUUCGGUUUGUGUAGGAUAGGUGGGAGACUGUGAAGCGCUCACGCCAGUGAGUGUGGAGUCGUUGUUGAAAUACCACUCUGAUCGUAUUGGACCUCUAACCUCGGACCAUGAUCUGGUUCAGGGACAGUGCCUGGUGGGUAGUUUAACUGGGGCGGUUGCCUCCCAAAAUGUAACGGAGGCGCCCAAAGGUUCCCUCAGCCUGGUUGGCAAUCAGGUGUCGAGUGCAAGUGCACAAGGGAGCUUGACUGUGAGACUGACAAGUCGAGCAGGGACGAAAGUCGGGACUAGUGAUCCGGCACCGGCAAGUGGAAGCGGUGUCGCUCAACGGAUAAAAGGUACCCCGGGGAUAACAGGCUGAUCUUCCCCAAGAGUCCAUAUCGACGGGAUGGUUUGGCACCUCGAUGUCGGCUCGUCGCAUCCUGGGGCUGGAGUAGGUCCCAAGGGUUGGGCUGUUCGCCCAUUAAAGCGGCACGCGAGCUGGGUUUAGAACGUCGUGAGACAGUUCGGUCUCUAUCCGCCGCGCGCGUUAGAAACUUGAGGAAGGCUGUCCCUAGUACGAGAGGACCGGGACGGACGAACCUCUGGUGUGCCAGUUGUUCCACCAGGAGCACCGCUGGUUAGCUACGUUCGGAAGGGAUAACCGCUGAAAGCAUCUAAGCGGGAAGCCUGUUCCAAGAUGAGGUUUCUCACCCCCUCGAGGGGGUAAGGCCCCCGGCAGACCACCGGGUUGAUAGGCCAGAACUGGAAGCCCAGUAAUG
rnacentral:rRNA from 1 species